rnacentral:pre_miRNA from 1 species
UUUCUACUCCCUCUGUCUGAAAAUACUUGUCAUCAAAAUGGAUAAAAAGAGAUGUAUCUAAAACUAAAAUACAUCUGGAUGCAUUUCCUUUUAUCCAUUUUGAUGACAAGUAUUUUCGGACGGAGGGAGUAUUUG